rnacentral:misc_RNA from 1 species
GUGAAUCAUCGAAUCUUUGAACGCACAUUGCGCCCUUUGGUAUUCCGAAGGGCAUGCCUGUUCGAGCAUCAUUUCAAACCUCAAGCUUCUGCUUGGUAUUGAGCGUUUUUUUCGUCUGUCUGACAGACGCGCUCGAAACUCGUGGGCGGUAAUUGUCCAGCGUCUUUGCGUAGUCAUAUAAUUUCGCUUAGGUUAGGUCAAUCUGCUUGCCAAACAAAACAGACGUUGGAAAGGUCUUCGGAUCUUACCCAGCGCUACCAUUCUAAGGUUUGAUCUCGGAUCAGGUAGGGAUACCCGCUGAACUUAAGCAUAUCAAUAAGCGGAGGA